CGCGUAGGUGGCUCGUUAAGUGGUCGGUGAAAUCCCGGGGCUCAACUCCGGGGCUGCCGAUCAGACUGGCGGGCUAGAGCACGGUAGGGGCAGAUGGAAUUCCCGGUGUAGCGGUGGAAUGCGUAGAUAUCGGGAAGAACACCAGUGGCGAAGGCGUUCUGCUGGGCCGUUGCUGACACUGAGGCGCGACAGCGUGGGGAGCAAACA
rnacentral:rRNA from 1 species